GGUUCUAUGGUGUAACGGUUAGCACAUCAGACUCUGAAAAUCAUCACCGAAGACAUCUGAGAAUCUGAGUUCGAAUCUCAGUAGGACCA
rfam:Dictyostelium discoideum AX4 chromosome 2, whole genome shotgun sequence.